rnacentral:lncRNA from 1 species
GCUUGUGUAGCGUCAGAUCCUUGAGUGAUAAAGGAGUAGAGGGAAAGGCACUCCUAGGGGACAUAAAAUUAGUGAUUACUUUGAGUUUGCUGGGGGAAGCGGGCCAGGAACCAGCCCUGGCAGAAGUGUUCCACCAGUUGCACGAUCCUCACCGCAACAUUCCUUAUCCAAUCCCUUACCGUGACGAGUAGCACAGCCCCUCUAUGGUUUAGAUGGCAGUGCUGCAAAGGAGGCAACAGAGGAGCAGUCUGCUCUGCCAAUCCUCACGUCAGUGAUGCUAGCAAAACCUCGGCUUGACACAGAGCAGCUGGCGUAAAGGAGAGCUGGCCUCUGCUUCACUUUUGUUUCAGCUCAGCAAAACAGUCCCUCAUCUACGGGAUCUGGCAACACAGAGCAUUCCUGCAGCUCCCAAAAACAGAUCUCCAUCCAGCACAGACAGACCCAGUCCAACCUCACAAUAGAAAAAAUAUCUGCACUAGAAAACAGUAAGAAUUCUGACCUAGAGAAGAGGGAGGGAAGAAUAGAUGAUUUAUUAAGAGCCAACUGUGAUUUGAGACGGCAGAUUGAUGAACAGCAAAAGAUGCUAGAGAAAUACAAGGAACAAUUAAAUAGAUGUGUGACAAUGAGCAAGAAACUCCUUAUAGAAAAGAUGAUGAUUAUUCCCCACCUUCUAAGAGACAAAGACCAACGAGCCACCACAGCCACCGGUCCCAGAACCCGCCAAUGCUGGGGAACGGAAAAUGAGGGAGUUCAACUCUGGCCCUCACAAUCCAGUGGAGGAGACGAAACUCAGCUGCCUCUGUCCCUCUGGGCACGCCUCAUGCCAGGUGCAUCUGUGGACAGGGGCCAUGCUCCUGGGCUUCCAAAGUUGGAGAAAGCUGCCAGGCUCAGGUCUGAAGGCCAGAAUUCUACAGUAAGUCCUACUCAGUCAAGGUGGGAGCAGGGUCAGUGGCUUCCGAGGCUCUGCGGGAGAAUCCGUUUCCUGGCCGUGGAGGUGGCCUGCACUCCUCAGCUUGUGCUGCCCGUCUCGAAUGACUGGAGUUUCCUGCUUCUGUCACUACACCUCCCACCCUCUCCAUCACCUGCUCUGCUCUUAUAAGGAUCCGAAGAAAUGGAAUAAUCGUAUCGCUGAUCUACGUAAACAAAUUGAAGAAUUGUCUGAAAGAAAAUAUGUUAUGUCUAAACUGGAAAAGUCCUGUAAUCUUAUGUUCAUGGGCUUUUACACAAUGGAGUUACUGUUCAUCAUGGGGGUACCGUGGACAAGCCCAGAGCUGCCGGCGAGUCAUGCCAUCCUUACACGUUUCUCCUUGGAAGACGUGAACUUAUGAAUUCAACAGGUGAAGAUUUACAACUUGAUAAAUCAGCUUCAUGAGAGCCACCUGAGCUGAAGAUUCCCUUGAGAACAAGUACUGUCCUGUGGUUUCAUGGCCUUUCUUCCAUUUGUGGUUCUUGCGAAGUGGAAUUUAAAUGACAUCUUAUCAAGAUGGAUAAACCCUAGUUUCCCAGUGCUGGAAUAUAGAAAAUGGAUGGACAAGUAAAUCCCACUCAGCAC